AUUGAACGCUGGCGGAAUGCUUUACACAUGCAAGUCGAACGGCAGCACGGGGCAACCUGGUGGCGAGUGGCGAACGGGUGAGUAAUACAUCGGAACGUGCCCAAUCGUGGGGGAUAACGUAGCGAAAGUUACGCUAAUACCGCAUACGAUCUACGGAUGAAAGCGGGGGAUCGCAAGACCUCGCGCGAAUGGAGCGGCCGAUGUCAGAUUAGGUAGUUGGUGGGGUAAAGGCUCACCAAGCCAACGAUCUGUAGCUGGUCUGAGAGGACGACCAGCCACACUGGAACUGAGACACGGUCCAGACUCCUACGGGAGGCAGCAGUGGGGAAUUUUGGACAAUGGGCGCAAGCCUGAUCCAGCCAUUCCGCGUGCAGGAUGAAGGCCUUGGUU
rnacentral:rRNA from 1 species